rnacentral:lncRNA from 1 species
AUGUGGUCUCGGCUGGACAGCCGCAUGUUCAGGUUGAACAGCAGGGUUCCUCAAUGUCCACACUCUCCAGACUCACUGUCUCCUGAUGCUGAGGACACAGGACAGGUUACAUACAGAUAUACAGUAAUUAUACAGAUAUUGAUGUGUAAACACUGUCCAGACUCACUGUCUCCUGAUGCUGAGGACACAGGACAGGUUACAUACAGUAUUAUACAGAUAUAUGAUGUGUAACACUGUCCAGACUCACUGUCUCCUGAUGCUGAGGACACAGGACAGGUUACAUACAGUAUUAUACAGAUAUAUGAUGGUGUAACACUGUCCGACUCACUGUCUCCUGAUGCUGAGGACACAGGCAGGUUACAUAACAGUAUUAUACAGAUAUUAUGAAAUGUGUAACACUGUCCAGACUCACGUCUCCUGAUGCUGAGGACACAGGACAGGUUACAUCCAGUAUUAUACAGAUAUAUGAUGUGUAACACUGUCCAGACUCACUGUCUCCUGAUGCUGGAGGAACACAGGUCAGGUUACAUACAGUAUUAUACAGAUAGAUGAUGUGUAACACUGUCCAGACUCACUGUCUCCUGAUGCUGAGCACAGACAGGUUACAUAGAGAUAUACAGUAUUAUACAGAUAUAUGAUGUGUACACGUCCAGACUCACUGUCUCUGAUGCUGAGGAACACAGGACGAGGUACAUACAGUAUUAUAACAGAUAUAUGAUGUGUACACUGUCCAGACUCACUGUCUCCUGAUGGCUGAGGACAACGACAGGUUACAUACAGUAUUAUACAGAUAUAUGAGUGUAACACUGUCCAGACGCACUGUCUCUCUCCUGAUGCUGAGGACACAGGACAGGUUACCAUACAGUAUUAACAGAUAUAUGAUGUGUGUAACACUGUCCCAACUCACUGUCUCCUGAUGCUGAGACACAGGACAGGUUACAUACAGUAUUCUACAGAUAUAUGAUGUGUAACACUGUCCAGGUCCCUGUCUCCUGAUGCGGAGGAACAGGACCAGUAGUAGGUGGAUUAU